AAGCCCUAGGCAAAUGGACAAGAAGUGCAUAUAAGGCAGGGGAAAGGGUAGGCUGUUUAGUGCUGUAUUCCUUCCCUCUCUCCCUCCCGUAUUGCCCACUGCAAACUAUCUUCAUAAUUUAGGACAUCUACAGGACAGCUCUCUGAACACCUCUCUCAAUAUAUAUAGGCUCUUUCCUAUUGAAGUGGGCUUCUUCACACUCUCCAUCAACAACAUACAACGCAUGUAGGAAAACAGAGUGUGUGUGUUGGAGGGGGGUAUGUAGGGGGGGAAAUUAAAGCAAGUUUUAGCUUAGAGCUGCUACCACAAAGGCAGUCUGCUUUAAAUGAACACACUUCUAGCCGCUAACAUCAUCUCGCUGGAUCAUCUGCUGCUGCUGCUAUCUGGGUGUGUGUGUGUGCUCUCUCAGGGAAUGGCACAUAAUUUUAAUAAUGAAAUUAACAGCAAUCUUCAGAGUGUGGGCAAGUCAGAUUUUGGUUGCAGUUUACAUUGCAACCAAAGUUGGUGAUUUUGUCAACUACUAAAUAUCCGAAGGAACCCAUAUAUUCAGAAAUGUUGCAUGAAUAUAUUUCUCUUCAGGGUUUCUGCAUUUGUGGAUGUUGGCGUUGUUAAGCACCUUUUAUAUUAAAAGUUUAAACAGUCAUACACAUUCUUUUCUUGGGAUUCCAAAAGUAUGUGAAAACCUUAAUGCAGUGGUUCUCAAGAGCCAGAUGUUCACCCAGAUGCUGUUGGUCUACACAUCCCAUCAUCCCCAGCCACAAUGGGGAUUGGAUGAUGGGAGUUGCAGCCCAACAACAUCUGGGGGCCCAAGUCUGUGAACACCUGCAUGCAUUUGCAGCUUUGUUUUUUUUCUUUAACAGCUGUAUUGGAUAGUUGGAUGUAGUGGAGAUCACGAGGGAGGGAGCUCUGCCAUUUAAUCACCUUCUUGCCGUUGGCAGAGAUACCAGCUGCCUGCAUCCGCUCCAGCCCCAAGCAGCUGUGCUCUAUCGGGACGGGCUUCGGAAAUCGGGGCCACCUGUGCUUCCGGCGCUCCUCCAUGUACUGGUCUUGAACCUGCAGCACCAGCUGAGGGACGCAGGCAGCAUGCUGGGGAGAGAGACCAGGGCCACAAGAAAGCGUUUUCGUCAUCAUCCAUGUCUCCUCCUUCCUCAGAUCCCUUCACAUUAUUUCAUGAUCCCAGAGGAAAUGACCUGUUACCUUUGGCCAUUCGUGGGCUCGUUGGCGCUCCUGGAGCAGAAGGUCCGAGGCGCUGGGCUGCGGAGAGUUGCCCUCGUGGGAAGUGGGCAGGGACAGCAGCGAUUCCUCCUCUUCAAAGAGCUUCCCACUGCAAGAGACCUCUUCACCUGCGGCGGGGAGUGGGGAAGAGUACACGGCAGUCGUUAGGAGGGGCCAUCGCGGGAAAAAGGCACACCAAGGAGUGGGUACACAAAUCGCAUCCAUCCUACACAAAUCUUGAUGAGUGGGCCUUUCCUUGAUUUCACAUGGAGGAGAAUUAUGCAAUACCAGGUAUGACGAUCUGUGCUGAUUUCCUAAGGAAGGCCCACAAACUCUAGAACAGACCUUCACAACUUAGGCCCUCCAGCUGUUCGACUACAGCUUCCAUCAUCCUCACAGGCCAAUCGUCAGGGGUGAUGGGAGUUGCAGUCCAAAGCUGGAGGGCAGCUGUUGUGCAGCCCUGCUUGAGAGGAAUGCAGCUCAUCUCCUUCAGGGACGCUGUGGGAUUUUUAAUUGGGGCUGCAGCUUUAAUUGAGAGGUGCAUACAGCUUAAAUUGAUCAAUGGGCCCCAGUUCUGUUUUAGAAGCGUAUUUUGGUCCUCAUGACAAGCUGGUAAAGAAAAGUGAGAGAUGGCCCUUCCUUCAAACAAUAAAAACAGUCUUAUUUAUUA